rnacentral:rRNA from 1 species
ACCGGCGCAAGGGUGCGUAACGCGUGAGCAACAUGCCCGUAUCAGGGGGAUAAUCCAUGGAAACGUGGUCUAAUACCCCAUAGUAAGUUUUUGGGGCAUCUCAAAGAUUUUAAAAGCUUUGGUGGAUACGGAUUGGCUCGCGUGACAUUAGCUAGAUGGUAAGGUAACGGCUUACCAUGGCUACGAUGUCUAGGGGUUCUGAGAGGAAGUUCCCCCACACUGGAACUGAGACACGGUCCAGACUCCUACGGGAGGCAGCAGUGAGGAAUAUUGGACAAUGGAUGGAAAUCUGAACCAGCCAUGCCGCGUGCAGGAUGAAGGUGCUAUGCAUUGUAAACUGCUUUUGUACGAGGGUAGACUCGGGUACGUGUACCCGACUGAAAGUAUCGUACGAAUAAGGAUCGGCUAACUCCGUGCCAGCAGCCGCGGUAAUACGGAGGAUCCGAGCGUUAUCCGGAUUUAUUGGGUUUAAAGGGUGCGUAGGCGGUUGAAUAAGUUAGAGGUGAAAGCUCGAUGCUCAACAUCGAAAUUGCCUCUGAUACUGUUCGACUAGAGUAUAGUUGCGGAAGGCGGAAUGUGUGGUGUAGCGGUGAAAUGCUUAGAUAUCACACAGAACACCGAUUGCGAAGGCAGCUUUCCAAACUAUCACUGACGCUGAGGCACGAAAGCGUGGGGAGCAAACAGGAUUAGAUACCCUGGUAGUCCACGC